rnacentral:tRNA from 1 species
CGACAGUGUGGCGCACGAUUACACGUGGGGGUUCAUCCUCCUCGCCGUCACCGCGACGGGCGCGGGAGCUUUGGCCGCCACUGCCGUCC